rnacentral:rRNA from 1 species
GACUAACGCUGGCGGCGUGCCUAAUGCAUGCAAGUCGAGCGCAUCUCGCUUCGGCGGGGUGAGCGGCGGACGGGUGAGUAACGCGUAGCUAACCUGCCCUGGUCUGGGGGAGUACCCACGCAGAAAUGCUGGUCAAUCCCGCGUACGCUCGGCUCGAUGAGGGUCGAGGAAAGCCGCAAGGCGGACUAGGAGGGGGCUGCGUCCCAUCAGCUUGACGGCGGGGUAAGNGGCCACCGUGGCGGUGACGGGUCGCUGGUCUGAGAGGAUGGAUCAGCCACACGGGGACUGGGAGACGGCCCCGA